rnacentral:rRNA from 1 species
UGGGGAAUCUUGCGCAAUGGGGGGAACCCUGACGCAGCGACGCCGCGUGCGGGACGGAGGCCUUCGGGUCGUAAACCGCUUUCAGCAGGGAAGAGUCAAGACUGUACCUGCAGAAGAAGCCCCGGCUAACUACGUGCCAGCAGCCGCGGUAAUACGUAGGGGGCGAGCGUUAUCCGGAUUCAUUGGGCGUAAAGCGCGCGUAGGCGGCCCGGCAGGCCGGGGGUCGAAGCGGGGGGCUCAACCCCCCGAAGCCCCCGGAACCUCCGCGGCUUGGGUCCGGUAGGGGAGGGUGGAACACCCGGUGUAGCGGUGGAAUGCGCAGAUAUCGGGUGGAACACCGGUGGCGAAGGCGGCCCUCUGGGCCGAGACCGACGCUGAGGCGCGAAAGCUGGGGGUGCGAACAGG